GGUUCCAUAGUGUAGUGGUUAGCACUCCAGACUUUGAAUCUGGCGACCUGGGUUCGAAUCCCGGUGGGACCU
rfam:Zea mays cultivar B73 chromosome 10, whole genome shotgun sequence.